AGAGUUUGAUCAUGGCUCAGGAUGAACGCUAGCGGCAGGCCUAACACAUGCAAGUCGAGGGGUAACGAUGUCUUCGGACAGGCGACGACCGGCGCACGGGUGAGUAUCGCGUUUGUAACCUACCUUUAACUGGAGCAUAGCCCGAAGAAAUUCGGAUUAAUACUCCAUAAUACUAUGAUCUGGCAUCUUUUUAUAGUUAAAGCUCCGGCGGUUAAAGAUGGACAUGCGUAACAUUAGUUUGUUGGUGAGGUAACGGCUCACCAAGACUACGAUGUUUAGGGGGUCUGAGAGGAUGGUCCCCCACACUGGUACUGAGACACGGACCAGACUCCUACGGGAGGCAGCAGUGAGGAAUAUUGGUCAAUGGGCGAAAGCCUGAACCAGCCAUGCCGCGUGAAGGAUGACAGCGCUACGCGUUGUAAACUUCUUUUGUACAGGAAGAAACACUUCUACGUGUAGAAGCUUGACGGUACUGUACGAAUAAGCAUCGGCUAACUCCGUGCCAGCAGCCGCGGUAAUACGGAGGAUGCAAGCGUUAUCCGGAUUUAUUGGGUUUAAAGGGUACGUAGGCGGAAAAUUAAGUCAGUAGUGAAAUCCCGCAGCUUAACUGUGGAACUGUUAUUGAUACUGGUUUUCUUGAAUUUAGUUGAGGUAGGCGGAAUGUGUAAUGUAGCGGUGAAAUGCUUAGAUAUUACACAGAACACCGAUUGCGAAGGC
rnacentral:rRNA from 1 species